rnacentral:rRNA from 1 species
GAUGAACGCUGGCGGCGUGCCUAAUACAUGCAAGUCGAGCGAACAGACGAGGAGCUUGCUCCUCUGACGUUAGCGGCGGACGGUUGAGUAACACGUGGAUAACCUACCUAUAAGACUGGGAUAACUUCUUGAAACCGGAGCUAAUACCGGAUAAUAUAUUGAACCGCAUUGUUCAAUAGUGAAAGACGGUUUUGCUGUCACUUAUAGAUGUAUCCGCGCCGCAGUAGCUAGUUGGUAAGGUAACGGCUUACGAAGGCAACGAUGCGUAGCCGACCUGAUAGGGUGAUGGGCAACACUCGAACUGAGACACGGUCAAGACUCAUACGGGAGGCAGAAGUAGGGAAUCUGAAGAAAUGGGCGAAAGCCUGAGGGAGAAACGCCGAGCGAGUGAGGAAGGUCAUCGGAUCGUAAAACUUUGUUAUUAGGGAAGAACAAAUGUGUAAGUAACGAUGCACGUAUUGACGGUACCUAAUCAGAAAGCCACGGCUAACUACGUG